UUCACCUUGUGCUCUGCACUGUGCAGUUGGCACCAAACCCAGACUUGUUCCCGGGCAGAGGCUUUGCCAGCUGGGCCUUGGGAGCUGUUGGCUGAGCAGGUGGCAGGAAGGAACUUGCUCCACACAGUUGUUGCUGCUUCCCCAGGAACAACCCGUACUACAGGCAGAAAAGGAAAAGCCCAGGAGUUGCACCUUGCCUACCCUCGGAUGGUCAGCUGCCUACUGAGUGUCAAACCUAUCUCUGGACUGAUUCUGACUUACUCCGCAACCCGGGUGUACCCCCAAAUACACAAGAGCUGCCAAGUGUGAGUGACCAUGGCCGGCCCUGGGACACAGAUUCAAGUUACCUCAAAUGCUGU